GACGAACGCUGGCGGCGUGCUUAACACAUGCAAGUCGAACGGAAAGGCCCUGCUUUUGUGGGGUGCUCGAGUGGCGAACGGGUGAGUAACACGUGAGUAACCUGCCCUUGACUUUGGUAUAACUUCAGGAAACUGGGGCUAAUACCGGAUAGGAGCUCCUGCUGCAUGGUGGGGGUUGGAAAGUUUCGGCGGUUGGGGAUGGACUCGCGGCUUAUCAGCUUGUUGGUGGGGUAGUGGCUUACCAAGGCUUUGACGGGUAGCCGGCCUGAGAGGGUGACCGGCCACAUUGGGGCUGAGAUACGGCCCAGACUCCUACGGGAGGCAGCAGUGGGGAAUAUUGCACAAUGGGCGGAAGCAUGAUGCAGCAAAGCAGCGUGCGGGAUGACGGGCUUCGGGUUGUAAACCGCUUUCGCCUGUGACGAAGCGUGAGUGACGGUAAUGGGUAAAGAAGCACCGGCUAACUACGUG
rnacentral:rRNA from 1 species